rnacentral:lncRNA from 1 species
UGUCUCGAACUUCUGACCUCAGGUGAUCCACCUGCCUUGGCCUCCCAAAGUGCUGGGAUUACAGGCGUGACCCACCGCACCUGGCUGAUAUACCAUCUUUAAGAGCCCCCUUGAAUACCAUGAGCUCUUCCUACUACUGCCUAUUUCUCUGUUCCUCUCAUGCAAACCUUCUCCAGAUGUAAGUUACAUAUUACUCUCUCCACUUCAUCUCCCACUCUUCAACCAACUGCAGUCUAGCUUCAUACCACUCCAUAGAACCCACUCUUGUCAAAGUCACCAAAGACUUCAUGUCAAAUCCAACAGACAGGUUUGUUUUUUUUUUCUCAUCCUACUUGUCUUUUCAGUAGCAUCUGGCAAUCAACAAUCCCUCCUAGAAACACGUGUGUUUCUUCUCAGUCUCUUUUGCUGACCUCUAAAUAUUGAAGUUCUCUGAGCUUGUAGAACCAACUGCCUCCUUGUCAUCGCCACUGGAUUAUCUCACAAGCACCUCAAAUUGAACAUGUCUAAAACAGAAAUCUUGAUAUUCUUCCCCAAGUCUUUCCCUCCUCUCACCUUCUCCCAUCUGUAUAACCAGUAGUUAUUGAACUAGAAAGCUGAGAAUCAUCCCUUCUCUCACCUCCUUUACACUCAAUUUAUUAUGGAGUGCUAUUGGUUCUACCUCUAAAAUUUAUCCUGAAUUUGUCCACAUCUCUCCGUCUCCACUAUCUCUAAUCUACACCAAACCACCAUUGUCUCUUGUUUGAACUUUUUUUUUUUUUUUCAGAUGGAGUCUCA